GCACGGUGGCUUAGUGGUUAGAACGUUUGCUUCGCACCUUCAGGGUUGGGGGUUCAAAUCCCACAUCAGAGCC